rnacentral:rRNA from 1 species
AUUGAACGCUGGCGGCAGGCCUAACACAUGCAAGUCGAACGAGUGGCGGACGGGAGAGUAAUGUCUGGGAAACUGCCUGAUGGAGGGGGAUAACUAAUGGAAAAGGUAGCUAAUAACGCAUACCAUCAGAUGUGCCAAGAUGGGAUUAGCUGGCUGGUGGGGUAACGGCUAACACAGGCGACGAUCCCUAGCUGGUCUGAGAGGAUGACCAGCCACACUGGAACUGAGACACGGUCCAGACUCCUACGGGAGGCGGCAGUGGGGUAUAUUGCACAAUGGGCGCAAGCCUGAUGCAGCCAUGCCGCGAGUAUGAAGAAGGCCUUCGGGUUGUAAAGUACUUUCAGCGGGGAGGCGUUACCCGCAGAAGAAGCACCGGCUAACUCCGUGCCAGCAGCCGCGGUAAUAC